GACGAACGCUGGCGGCGUGCUUAACACAUGCAAGUCGAACGGAAAGGCCCUGCUUUUGUGGGGUGCUCGAGUGGCGAACGGGUGAGUAACACGGGAGUAACCUGCCCUUGACUUUGGGAUAACUUCUGGAAACUGGGGCUAAUACCGGAUAGGAGCUCCUGCUGCAUGGUGGGGGUUGGAAAGUUUCGGCGGUUGGGGAUGGACUCGCGGCUUAUCAGCUUGUUGGUGGGGUAGUGGCUUACCAAGGCUUUGACGGGUAGCCGGCCUGAGAGGGUGACCGGCCACAUUGGGACUGAGAUACGGCCCAGACUCCUACGGGAGGCAGCAGUGGGGAAUAUUGCACAAUGGGCGGAAGCCUGAUGCAGCAACGCCGCGUGCGGGAUGACGGCCUUCGGGUUGUAAACCGCUUUCGCCUGUGACGAAGCGUGAGUGACGGUAAUGGGUAAAGAAGCACCGGCUAACUACGUG
rnacentral:rRNA from 1 species